GGUUAAGCGACUAAGCGUACACGGUGGAUGCCCUGGCAGUCAGAGGCGAUGAAGGACGUGCUAAUCUGCGAAAAGCGCCGGCGAGGUGAUAUGAACCUUUGACCCGGCGAUGUCCGAAUGGGGAAACCCAGUGUGUUCCGACACACUAUCGUUAACUGAAUACAUAGGUUAACGAGGCGAACCGGGGGAACUGAAACAUCUAAGUACCCCGAGGAAAAGAAAUCAACCGAGAUUCCCCCAGUAGCGGCGAGCGAACGGGGAGCAGCCCGGAGUCUGAAUCAGCUUGUGUGUUAGUGGAACGGUCUGGAAAGUCCGACGGUACAGGGUGAUAGUCCCGUACACGAAAAUGCACAGGUUGUGAACUCGAAGAGUAGGGCGGGACACGUGGUAUCCUGUCUGAAUAUGGGGGGACCAUCCUCCAAGGCUAAAUACUCCUGACUGACCGAUAGUGAACCAGUACCGUGAGGGAAAGGCGAAAAGAACCCCGGCGAGGGGAGUGAAAAAGAACCUGAAACCGUGUACGUACAAGCAGUGGGAGCACCUUCGGGUGUGACUGCGUACCUUUUGUAUAAUGGGUCAGCGACUUAUAUUCUGUAGCAAGGUUAACCGUAUAGGGGAGCCGAAGGGAAACCGAGUCUUAACUGGGCGUUAAGUUGCAGGGUAUAGACCCGAAACCCGGUGAUCUAGCCAUGGGCAGGUUGAAGGUUGGGUAACACUAACUGGAGGACCGAACCGACUAAUGUUGAAAAAUUAGCGGAUGACCUGUGGCUGGGGGUGAAAGGCCAAUCAAACCGGGAGAUAGCUGGUUCUCCCCGAAAGCUAUUUAGGUAGCGCCUCGUGAACUCAUCUUCGGGGGUAGAGCACUGUUUCGGCUAGGGGGCCAUCCCGGCUUACCAACCCGAUGCAAACUACGAAUACCGAAGAAUGUUAUCACGGGAGACACACGGCGGGUGCUAACGUCCGUCGUGAAGAGGGAAACAACCCAGACCGCCAGCUAAGGUCCCAAAGUCAUGGUUAAGUGGGAAACGAUGUGGGAAGGCACAGACAGCCAGGAUGUUGGCUUAGAAGCAGCCAUCAUUUAAAGAAAGCGUAAUAGCUCACUGGUCGAGUCGGCCUGCGCGGAAGAUGUAACGGGGCUAAACCAUGCACCGAAGCUGCGGCAGCGACACUAUGUGUUGUUGGGUAGGGGAGCGUUCUGUAAGCCGUUGAAGGUGUGCUGUGAGGCAUGCUGGAGGUAUCAGAAGUGCGAAUGCUGACAUAAGUAACGAUAAAGCGGGUGAAAAGCCCGCUCGCCGGAAGACCAAGGGUUCCUGUCCAACGUUAAUCGGGGCAGGGUGAGUCGACCCCUAAGGCGAGGCCGAAAGGCGUAGUCGAUGGGAAACAGGUUAAUAUUCCUGUACUUGGUGUUACUGCGAAGGGGGGACGGAGAAGGCUAUGUCAGCCGGGCGACGGUUGUCCCGGUUUAAGCAUGUAGGCGGAGGUUCCAGGUAAAUCCGGUACCUUGUUAACGCUGAGGUGUGAUGACGAGGCACUACGGUGCUGAAGUGAUAAAUGCCCUGCUUCCAGGAAAAGCCUCUAAGCAUCAGGUAACACGAAAUCGUACCCCAAACCGACACAGGUGGUCAGGUAGAGAAUACCAAGGCGCUUGAGAGAACUCGGGUGAAGGAACUAGGCAAAAUGGUGCCGUAACUUCGGGAGAAGGCACGCUGAUAUGUAGGUGAAGUCCCUGCGGACGGAGCUGAAAUCAGUCGAAGAUACCAGCUGGCUGCAACUGUUUAUUAAAAACACAGCACUGUGCAAACACGAAAGUGGACGUAUACGGUGUGACGCCUGCCCGGUGCCGGAAGGUUAAUUGAUGGGGUUAGCGGCAACGCGAAGCUCUUGAUCGAAGCCCCGGUAAACGGCGGCCGUAACUAUAACGGUCCUAAGGUAGCGAAAUUCCUUGUCGGGUAAGUUCCGACCUGCACGAAUGGCGUAAUGAUGGCCAGGCUGUCUCCACCCGAGACUCAGUGAAAUUGAACUCGCUGUGAAGAUGCAGUGUACCCGCGGCAAGACGGAAAGACCCCGUGAACCUUUACUAUAGCUUGACACUGAACACUGGUCCUUGAUGUGUAGGAUAGGUGGGAGGCUUUGAAGCGUGGACGCCAGUCUGCGUGGAGCCAUCCUUGAAAUACCACCCUUUAAUGGCUGGUGUUCUAACGUAGACCCGUGAUCCGGGUUGCGGACAGUGUCUGGUGGGUAGUUUGACUGGGGCGGUCUCCUCCCAAAGAGUAACGGAGGAGCACGAAGGUUGGCUAAUCCUGGUCGGACAUCAGGAGGUUAGUGCAAUGGCAUAAGCCAGCUUGACUGCGAGCGUGACGGCGCGAGCAGGUGCGAAAGCAGGUCAUAGUGAUCCGGUGGUUCUGAAUGGAAGGGCCAUCGCUCAACGGAUAAAAGGUACUCCGGGGAUAACAGGCUGAUACCGCCCAAGAGUUCAUAUCGACGGCGGUGUUUGGCACCUCGAUGUCGGCUCAUCACAUCCUGGGGCUGAAGUAGGUCCCAAGGGUAUGGCUGUUCGCCAUUUAAAGUGGUACGCGAGCUGGGUUUAGAACGUCGUGAGACAGUUCGGUCCCUAUCUGCCGUGGGCGCUGGAGAAUUGAGGGGGGCUGCUCCUAGUACGAGAGGACCGGAGUGGACGCAUCACUGGUGUUCGGGUUGUCAUGCCAAUGGCACUGCCCGGUAGCUAAAUGCGGAAGAGAUAAGUGCUGAAAGCAUCUAAGCACGAAACUUGCCCCGAGAUGAGUUCUCCCUGAGACCUUGAGUCUCCUGAAGGAACGUUGAAGACGACGACGUUGAUAGGUCGGGUGUGUAAGCGCAGCGAUGCGUUGAGCUAACCGAUACUAAUGAACCGUGAGGCUUAACCUU
rnacentral:rRNA from 1 species